UGUUAAAUGUUAAAAAAUAAUAAUAAUAAGCAAUCAUACAUAUCGUGUAUAUAAUUCAUCAGAUCAGAAUAAUCUGAAUAUUAAAACUUUCAAAAUAUAAAUUAACUAUAAACAGCUGAGAAAUAGAAGCUUGCUAUUAAAACAGAAACAUUUUAAUUUAUCGUGGAAGUGUAGAACCAACAAUGUUAAUGAUUUAUCUUAAACAUGUUUGAACUUGAAGAUUUUGAUUUAGACGAUGAAGUAUUUCUUAAUACCCAGAUGCCAACUUUUAUUAAUAGAUCACCAAUAAUAUCAUCAAAUUCAAAUCCUGUUUCUUCAAAUUUUGAAGAUGAUGAUGAAUUAUUCCUUAAUGUAUCGAAUCCAGUUUCUGAAUUGAAAACUUUUCACUCUGAAAAUACUGAAUUAAAAAUAACAGAUACAACAAAAGAACAAAAAAAGGAUAAUGAUAUACCACAAAAUAUAUUUAAAACCCAAUCCAAACCAGAAAUUAUAAAACCAUUUAAUGAAAGUCAGCCAAAUAGAAUUAAAUUAAAUUUUGAUGAAGAUUUUGAUUCAGAUGACGAAAAUUUUUUCAACACAUCUAGUAUAAUAGAAGGUGCUAUAAGUCCUUUGAAGGACAAUGAUUGUGCCACUAAAUUUGAUUUUGAUGAUGAUCAUAAUGAGGUUUCACUUGUCAACUCUGAAAGUUAUCAAUUAAAAUCUUCAAACAUAAAAAAUUCUAAUAAAUCAAAUUUCAAUGGUAAUUGUACAACUAUUACGAGUGUAAAAAUAAUGACUCCAAAAUGUACUUCUAGAAAAUUUCCCGGACCUGCUGGUUUACUUUCUGAAAACGAAGAUCUAUACUCAGAAGAUCCUUUAAAUUUAGAAUCUUUGGACAUGUCAAUUAGCGUUAGCGAAAAUGAUAGCAAAGAAGAGAGUUUGUGCACUCAAGCAAAUGAUUCAUCUUUUUCUUCAUCGCCGUAUCAACAAUUUCUAUCAGAUUUUUUCACCACCGAUGUUGAUGUUUUAUUAGAUAAAUUUAAUGUGGCAUGGAUAAAGCAGAAACUUCUUCCGUAUACUGCAUCUGGUCGUUCUUUCACAGACAAAAUACCAUUUUUUGUUUCUGUUUUAAAAGAAAUUGAUUGUUUAUCACCAGAUCCAACAGUUCUACUUGCCGACAAAACAGGACAUAUUAGAGGAACAAUCCAUAGAGCUGUUUGGAACCAAUUUAGCAAUCAAUUAAAAAUAGGAGCUGUUUUAGUAUUGAUCAAUGUUGGCGUAUUAUGUCAAAAAAUACUAAAAGGGUUUACACUUAAUAUUACUGGUGAUCAUUUAGUUGCCAUUUAUAGUUGUUCUUCUGAGGAUAUUCAAGGAGUAAUUGUUACUCGAACAACAGAUAUGACAAAUGAUGAAAUUGUCAAUGGAGCCAAGCAAUGGAAUGUAUAUAGUGCGGAAGCUUUAAAUAAAAAUUCCAAUUCAGUUAUAAUAAAGAGUCAGAUGAAUAAUAAUUUAAAAUUUCACGACAUGUUGACUGAUCAUAAUUCUCUACCAUCAAAUGUUAAUAACCAAAUCACAAAUAUUACUUCUGGCCAAUCAACACCUAUUAAAAGUGUUUUCAAACCAAAAACUCCUGUAGUUCAUAAUCUAUUCAAAAGUGUUCUUAAUAAUUUUACAGAAGAACCGCCAACCAAACGGACAAGAAAUGAAUUAAAAAUUGAAGAUCAAUGUUCAAAUAAUGAAAUCUCUAUUAUUCAAAAUAUUUUUGAAGGAAUCAAUGAAGAUGAAAUGUUUAAUGAUUUUUGUUGUUGAAGUGUUCUUAAGCUGAAGAUCUAUUUUAUUUUAAAGAUAUAAAGCUUUGUGAUGAUGUAACACUUUUCUGUGUCAGAACACAAAAAAUAUUUGUAGAAACACUUUCUGAUUUCAAAAAUCUAAAAUCUAAAUCACUUUUUUUUUUUAAAUUCUCAAAUUAAUUGAUUGGGAUAAAAAGAACUGAGAAUUAUGCGAAGAAAAACUUAAAGAAAUUAACUCAUAAACAUGUAGAUAUAAAGCUACAUUAACUACUACAACUUUAAUUUGGAUAUUUAUGCGAGACUGUACUGAAACUACAUAAUGAUGGAAUGAAUCGUUCUGAAUUAACCUCAAGACUAGUGUAUCAAUAUCAAGUAAAUUAUCAAAUAAAACCCUCAAAAAAUUUAAAUAUUGAACCUGAGCACAUAUUAUGUAUUUAAAUUAUACACAUAAAAUUACCAAAAUAUUGUGUUCAAUUAAACUUGAUAAUACUGAUUUUUGUUUACUGUUACAAAUUUGGGUAUUUUAAAAUAAGAUUAAUAAAUCUCAUUACUAUUUUAUAUCAACAAAACAACAAUAAUAAUAAAUAAA